UACAGAGGUCUCAAGCGUUGUUCGGGUUCAUUGGGCGUAAAGGGUGCGUAGGUGGCGUGGCAAGUCGGGUGUGAAAUUUCGGAGCUUAACUCCGAAACUGCAUUCGAUACUGCUGUGCUUGAGGACUGGAGAGGAGACUGGAAUUUACGGUGUAGCAGUGAAAUGCGUAGAGAUCGUAAGGAAGACCAGUGGCGAAGGCGGGUCUCUGGACAGUUCCUGACACUGAGGCACGAAGGCCAGGGGAGCAAACGGG
rnacentral:rRNA from 1 species